UUGAAGUCCGAUGAUGGUGCUCUCGGUCUUGGUCGAAAGGACAUCAACUGGCCUAAAAUAAUUGCCACGAUUGUUGAAGCAAUCCUUGGAAAAUCUAAAGAGCUCCAGAAAAUAAAACCACAAAAGCCAUCGCGAGUUCCAACGCGAAAGCCAAAGUCAAAGGCAUUUCCAGGGGCCGUUCCUCUGCUUCCUCUAUAUCAAUUGGAUC